rnacentral:lncRNA from 1 species
GCCAGCUGUAGUUAUAUUACACAUAAUUAUUGGAUAUAAUUCGUACAGUUAAAAAAUUUAAGAGGGAAAAGUGAAUAGAAGUAAAAGCAUUACAAAAGAAGAAGUUUAGAUCAGUGUACGAAGAAGCUAUAAGAAAAACAUCAAAGGUCCAACGUGGAGAUUGUCAGGGCUGCUGGCGGUGUGGAGAGUGACUGAAGGUGCAAGCUGCAUGUCGGGGGAGCUGGCGGUGUGCAGAGUGACUGAAGGUCCAUGCUGCAUGUCGGGGGAGCUGGCGGUGUGCAGAGUGACUGAAGGUCCGGGCUGCAUGUCGGGGGAGUGCAUUCGGAGUGUUCUCAUCUGUCUCAUCCCUGACCACGUGAGUACGCAGGACACCUGUGUCUGUGUUAAGGGAGUUCGUUCCUAAGUGCUCUCAUCUGCCUACUUCCAUGACUGUGUGAGUAAAAAGGGCUCAGGUCACACACAAGAAGGAAGAAAUUGGAAACCCAGGAACACAUAUCAGAGGAAACCAACUGAAAACAAAUAAUAAAAUGCAGA